rnacentral:rRNA from 1 species
GGGCCGGAGAGGCGGGCUCAUAUGCAGGGGAGCGGCAGACGGGUGAGUAACGCGUGGGAAUCUACCCUAGACUACGGAAUAACGCAGGGAAACUUGUGCUAAUACCGUAUGUGUCCUUCGGGAGAAAGAUUUAUCGGUCAAGGAUGAGCCCGCGUUGGAUUAGCUAGUUGGUGGGGUAAAGGCCUACCAAGGCGACGAUCCAUAGCUGGUCUGAGAGGAUGAUCAGCCACAUUGGGACUGAGACACGGCCCAAACUCCUACGGGAGGCAGCAGUGGGGAAUAUUGGACAAUGGGCGCAAGCCUGAUCCAGCCAUGCCGCGUGAGUGAUGAAGGCCCUAGGGUUGUAAAGCUCUUUCACCGGAGAAGAUAAUGACGGUAUCCGGAGAAGAAGCCCCGGCUAACUUCGUGCCAGCAGCCGCGGUAAUACGAAGGGGGCUAGCGUUGUUCGGAAUUACUGGGCGUAAAGCGCACGUAGGCGGAUCGAUCAGUCAGGGGUGAAAUCCCAGGGCUCAACCCUGGAACUGCCUUUGAUACUGUCGAUCUGGAGUAUGGAAGAGGUGAGUGGAAUUCCGAGUGUAGAGGUGAAAUUCGUAGAUAUUCGGAGGAACACCAGUGGCGAAGGCGGCUCACUGGUCCAUUACUGACGCUG